AUUGAACGCUGGCGGCAUGCCUUACACAUGCAAGUCGAACGGCAGCACGGGAGCAAUCCUGGUGGCGAGUGGCGAACGGGUGAGUAAUAUAUCGGAACGUGCCCAGUCGUGGGGGAUAACGCAGCGAAAGCUGUGCUAAUACCGCUUACGAUCUCUGGAUGAAAGCGGGGGACCGUAAGGCCUCGCGCGAUUGGAGCGGCCGAUAUCAGAUUAGCUAGUUGGUGGGGUAAAGGCCCACCAAGGCGACGAUCUGUAGCUGGUCUGAGAGGACGACCAGCCACAAUGGAACUGAGACACGGUCCAGACGCCUACGGGAGGCAGCAGUGGGGAAUUUUGGACAAUGGGCGAAAGCCUGAUCCAGCAAUGCCGCGUGCAGGAUGAAGGCCUUCGGGUUGUAAACUGCUUUUGUACGGAACGAAACGGCGAGCUCUAAUAAAGUUUGCUAAUGACGGUACCGUAAGAAUAAGCACCGGCUAACUACGUGCCAGCAGCCGCAGUAA
rnacentral:rRNA from 1 species